rnacentral:rRNA from 1 species
UGGAAGUAAAAAGUCGUAACAAGGUCUCCGUUGGUGAACCAGCGGAGGGAUCAUUAAAGAGUUGCAAAACUCCCUUAAACCAUCGUGAACGUACCUCUGAACAGUUGCUUCGGCAGGCCGGCCCCCCCCGGGGUGCCGCCAAAGGCCUGCCGAAGGUACCAAAACCAUUGUUUUUACAGGCCUCUCUGAGUAACGUACUUAAUAAGUCAAAACUUUCAACAACGGAUCUCUUGGUUCUGGCAUCGAUGAAGAACGCAGCGAAAUGCGAUAAGUAAUGUGAAUUGCAGAAUUCAGUGAAUCAUCGAAUCUUUGAACGCACAUUGCGCCCGCCAGUAUUCUGGCGGGCAUGCCUGUCCGAGCGUCAUUUCAACCAUCAAGCCCCGGGCUUGUGUUGGGGACCUGCGUCUGACGCAGGCCCUGAAAACCAGUGGCGGGCUCGCUGUCCACACCGAGCGUAGUAACUAACCUCGCUAUGGAGUGGCGCGGGCGCCUGCCGUAAAACCCCCAAUUUUACAAGGUUGACCUCGGAUCAGGUAGGAAUACCCGCUGAACUUAAGCAUAUCAAUAAGCGGAGCAA